CCCCUAGAUGUUCUGGGCCGCACGUGCGCUACACUGAACAGUUCAACAAGUCUUAACCUUGGCCGAUAGGUCUGGGUAAUCUUUGAACGCUGUUCGUGAUUGGGAUAGACCUUUGCAAUUAUGGGUCUUCAACGAGGAAUUCCUAGUAAACGCAAGUCAUCAGCUUGCAUUGAUUACGUCCCUGCCCUUUGUACACACCGCCCGUCGCACCUACCGAUUGAAUGGUCCGGUGAAAUCUCGGGACGGCGGCUUGGUCGCUUGCGUCCGACUGCUGAAACUUGAUUAAACCAUAUCAUUUAGAGGAAGGUGAANUCGUANCA
rnacentral:rRNA from 1 species